GCGAAAGCGAGUCUGAAUAGGGCGAAUGAGUUAGAUGGAUUAGACCCGAAACCCGGCGAUCUAGGCAUGACCAGGUUGAAGGUGCGGUAACACGCACUGGAGGACCGAACCAUUUAAUGUUGAAAAAUUAUUGGAUGAGUUGUGUUUAGGGGUGAAAGGCCAAUCAAGCCGGGAAAUAGCUGGUUCUCCGCGAAAACUAUUGAGGUAGUGCCUCGGACGUUUUCCUAUGGGGGUAGAGCACUGGAUGGGCUAGGGGGUCGCGAGACCUACCAAACCUAACCAAACUCCGAAUACCAUAGAGACAAGUCCGGGAGACAGACGGCGGGUGCUAAGGUCCGUCGUCAAAAGGGAAACAGCCCUAACCUACAGCUAAGGUCCCCAAGUCAUUACUAAGUGGGAAAGCAUGUGGGAAUCCCAAAACAACCAGGAGGUUGGCUUAGAAGCAGCCAUCCUUUAAAGAAAGCGUAAUAGCUCACUAGUCGA
rnacentral:rRNA from 1 species